ensembl:lncRNA
GGCUGAUGAUGCACACGAUGGAUUUGGAAAGCAGCAUGUAAUGGUGUUCAUGGAGUUCUCAUUAACGUUACAGGAUUGUGGACAAGAAUCUCAAGUAUGAAAUCAUUGACCAACAUAGUCUUAGUCUAACUUAGAUAUUUCAGUUUAGGAGAGAGAAAGUUGGGCAGCUGUUGACAGCUUUAACAACAAAUCAAGACUAAAGAGCCAACUAAUGUCUCUGGUGCUCAGAGCACUUUCUAUAGUCCUUGGCCACAAACUUACAGAUUUCUACAAAGUAUGCUUUGACUCUGAUGACAUUGGAAUCCUCCUCAUUGAGCAAGAAGGCUCUCAUCUUCUCUCCAUCUCAAUCCAGCCUCAUUGAAGAUCAUCAUUGAAGGAGAAGUUGUGAUGGACAAUAUUGAUGACUUGCCAAAAGCUAUAUGCAUUAUGGACUUGCAUACACACUGCUUCUCAACUACCCUAAAUCUAUGAAGAACACAUUCCAGUUCAUCCAACGGGUAUGGCAGAUAUUGUCCCUACCACAUUUUGAAAGUAACUGAAAAAGUCAUGGCCUAGUGGUUAGAGAGUUUGACUCCUAACCCUAAGGUUGUGGGUUUGAGUCUCGGGCUGGCAAUACCAUGACUGAGGUGCCUUUGAGCAAGGCACCGAACCCCCAACUGCUCCCCGGCUGCCGCAGCAUAAAUGGCUGCCCACUGCUCCGAGUGUGUGUUCACGUUGUGUGUGUCUGUGUUCACUGCUGUGUGUGUGCACUUUGGAUGGGUUAAAUGCAGAGCAAGAAUUCUGAGUAUGGGUCACUUUCAAAAUAUCUUGCGGUAUGUAUUAGGUAUAUUAAAGGGAAAACAAGAUCAACAAAUAAUUCUUCAUAAUCUAAUCAGGGUGAUAAAAACUACUACAACAACAAAAACAUUUGACUCCUUAUGCAUGUAUAACUGGUAAAGUGCAAUAACGACGUGAUUUUCAGUUGUCGCACUUUUCGUAAUGUCAUUAUAGGAUUUUAUUUAAAAAAAGAAAAGAAAAUGGAGCGCUUCCUUCUGCUAAAUAGGCCUUCCCUAUAGAUUUUUCUAGUCAACUAUUCGCACGUUAUAUUAAAUUGAUUAAUAUAAUAAUAUAUUAACCAUACUUUAAUAGGCUACAGGCAUUCCGCGCUCAAGCUCACGCAUAAAGCAAUUGCCUCAAAACACCGGCAAAGUGAUUAUGAACGUAUCAGGGGAAAAGAAGACAUUUUAAUAAUUUAUUAAUAAGUGCUUUCUGAGUCGGGUGCAAUGAUUAGGUUGACGAAUGCCGACACUGAUUCGCCAUCUCCACGGACCUGGCUUUAAUAGAAAUAAACCUUUUCAUACGGACUACAAAAUUAAAGAAUAGCCUAUAACAAAAUCGAGUGAGCGGCGUCAGCAGGAGCGCGAAGGUGCGCGCAGCAAAAAUGACGCGAAUACUGAUGGUUUUCACGCUAAAGUAAAGUAAAAGACCGCUUCUUAAACCAGAGAUGGUGAACAUGUUGGUAUUCUCGUGGGGGGGAAAACAUGCAAGAGCUGUCACCGACAGCAAGUUUAGUUUUACUUUUCUUUUUGUUUUGAUUUCAUUUUGAAAAGCUUAUCUUUGCUGUUUACAUCACGUUAUGCUAUGGAGGCUCUCUUUUAUUUAUUUUUUAUUUUUAUUUGAUUCCUCAUUGCUUGCU